AUGGAGGUGACCCCGAACCACACGCAGGCCGUGAGCGGAUGGGCGGCCAUGGAGCCCUCCGGCAAGGUGAUGCCCUUCGCCUUCAAGCGCCGGGAAAACGGCGUGGACGACGUCACCAUCAAAGUGCACUACUGCGGCAUGUGCCACACCGACCUCCACUUCAUCAACAACGACUGGGGCAUCACCAUGUACCCCCUCGUGCCCGGCCACGAGAUCACCGGCGUCGUGACCCGGGUCGGCGCCAACGUCUCCGGCUUCCGCCCUGGUGACCGCGUCGGCGUGGGAUGCAUCGCCGCCUCCUGCCUCGACUGCGACCACUGCCGCCGCUCUGAGGAGAACUACUGCGACAAGGUCGCGCUCACCUACAAUGGCAUCUUCUGGGACGGCAGCGUCACCUACGGCGGCUACUCCAGCAUGCUCGUCGCGCACAAGCGCUUCCUCGUGCGCAUCCCGGACGCCCUGCAGCUGGACGUCGCCGCGCCGCUGCUGUGCGCCGGGAUCACCGUGUACAGCCCCAUGAAGCAGCAUGGCAUGCUACACGCUGGCAGGAGGCUCGGCGUGGUCGGGUUGGGCGGGCUGGGCCACGUCGCAGUCAAGUUCGGCAAGGCCUUCGGGCUCAAGGUCACCGUCAUCAGCACGUCGCCGGCCAAGGAGCGCGAGGCGAGGGAGAGCCUCAAGGCUGACGACUUCGUCCUCAGCACCGACGAGAGGCAGAUGCAGGGCAUGGCCAGGAGCCUGGACUACGUGAUCGACACGGUGUCGGCGCAGCACUCGCUGGGGCCCAUCCUGGAGCUGCUCAAGGUGAACGGCAAGCUGGUGCUGGUGGCGGCGCCGGACAAGCCCGUGGAGCUGCCGUCCUUCCCGCUCAUCUUCGGAAAGAGGACGGUGAGCGGGAGCAUGACAGGGGGCAUGAAGGAGCUAGACGCAGGAGAUGAUGGACCUGUGCGGGGAGCACGGCAUCACCGCCGACAUUGA
rnacentral:rRNA from 1 species